CUCUCCGGCACUGCUCAGCUAACUCACCCAAUGCAGCCUGCAGCAGGGAACGGCCAGUUCUUUUGCUCUCAGGUCCUCAGAUCCGGCUCACCCACACUCAGACCACCAGGGCCAGCUCUGCUGUUAUGCCCAGGCCAGCAUAAAUAAAAUUAAGCCGCUAGCAGGAGGCCAAAGGCCCAGCAGCCGUUCCAGUACAAUUUGAAUGGAUGCAGAUGAAAUUACAGAGUCACAUCUUAUCCAUUGGAUGCUGUCCCAGUUAUGAGUAUAGUCACCUCAGAGAGUUCAGGGACAGCGGAGGAGGAGGAGGGAAAGAAGAGCAAUUCUUUCCCGGUGGGGCAAAAAUGUUCCUGAUGCAAGAUGCAAGCGGAGCACAGGCCGGCGCAAAGGCUGGAUUCGGACUGUACACAGCUCAACCAUGGAGACUGAAUGCCGCCAAUCACAGCAAGCUGCGCAUGAGCACAGCUGGCUCCUGGAAGCAGAGGGACUGAUUUUAGUUUCAGAUAUUUGACAUUAAUAAGAAUUAGCAUCAGUGAGGGGCAGGGGAGGAGGAGAGGGAGAGG